rnacentral:lncRNA from 1 species
AAAAAAAGUCCAAGUCCUUAGUGUUUCGAAUAUUUUGAUUUUAACAUUUUUCAAAAAGCAAAUUUACAGAAAAAUAAUAUCAAUGGUAUUUCAUGUCAACACUAAAGUAUUGACAAAUGGGUAUUUGAUAUCCUUUGGACCAUAGUCAAUCAGCAAUGACAUUGAGCACAGUGGAUGUAAAAACUCAUCAAAGACAUCAAACAUACCAGGCUUAUAAUUUUUAUAUGUCAGACAUGUCUUUCUUCUAUGUGAGGCACAUCAGUGGUGCUCUAAUUAACACAGCUUUUUGGCAAUGUCAAAUAAAUUUAGUUGAAGAUCUUUAAAGGGGCAUAAGCUGUUCAGGAUCACUGAAUUGAGGCCGAUUCUUAUAUUUUAUUCAUAACAUUCUAAAAUGUUAUCCAAAUUACAACAAAUCCAAAAGAAACAAAAUAACAACCACAUGGUUAUUUGUUGAAAGCC